CGAGAACUUUGAAGGCC
rnacentral:miRNA from 1 species